ACAAAUGACAGCUAGGGUUCCGGCCACUUGUUCGCAAGCGGUGUCUGGUCCGAGAGCAGUCGGCCAGCAGCGGCCCACACCACUGCAGGUUCCACGGCGGGACAAAAGCCCGGGAGGU
rnacentral:sRNA from 18 species